rnacentral:sRNA from 1 species
AGCAGCCGCGGUAAUUCCAGCUCCAAUAGCGUAUAUUAAAGUUGUUGCAGUUAAAAAGCCCGUAGUUGAACUUCGGGAUCAAUUGAUUGGUCAUGCCUUGGUAUGUACUGUUCAUAUUGGUUCUCACCUUCUAAUGAACCAUAAUGUCAUUUAUUUGAUGUUAUGGGGAAUUAGGACUGUUACCUUGAAAAAAUUAGAGUGUUUAAAGCAGGCUCACACUUGAAUACAUUAGCAUGGAAUAAUGAAAUAGGACAUCGCAUUCUAUUUUGUUGGUUUCUAGGAUCGAUGUAAUGAUUAAUAGGGAUAGUUGGGGGCAUUAGUAUUCAAUUGUCAGAGGUGAAAUUCUUGGAUUUAUUGAAGACUAACUACUGCGAAAGCAUUUGCCAAGGAUGUUUUCAUUAAUCAAGAACGAAAGUUAGGGGAUCGAAGACGAUCAGAUACCGUCGUAGUCUUAACCAUAAACUAUGCCGACUAGGGAUCGGAUGAUGUUGAUUUUUUUAAUGACUCU